CUAAGUUUGAUGGCGACCGGCGCACGGGUGAGUAACACGUAUCCAACCUGCCGAUGACUCGGGGAUAGCCUUUCGAAAGAAAGAUUAAUACCCGAUGGCAUAGUUCUUCCGCAUGGUAGAACUAUUAAAGAAUUUCGGUCAUCGAUGGGGAUGCGUUCCAUUAGGUUGUUGGCGGGGUAACGGGCCCACCCAAGCCUUCGAUGGAUAGGGGUUCUGAGAGGAAGGUCCCCCACAUUGGAACUGAGACACGGUCCAAACUCCUACGGGAGGCAGCAUG
rnacentral:rRNA from 1 species